rnacentral:rRNA from 1 species
UACGGGGGGGCAAGCGUUGUUCGGAAUCAUUGGGCGUAAAGCGCGCGUAGGCGGCCCGGUAAGUCCGUUGUGAAAGUCAAAGGCUCAACCUUUGAACGCCGAUGGAUACUGCCGGGCUAGAGUCCGGAAGAGGCGAGUGGAAUUCCUGGUGUAGCGGUGGAAUGCGCAGAUAUCAGGAGGAACACCAAUAGCGAAGGCAGCUCGCUGGGACGGUACUGACGCUGAGGCGCGAAAGCGUGGGGAGCGAACAGG